rnacentral:rRNA from 1 species
GACGAACGCUGGCGGCGUGCUUAACACAUGCAAGUCGAACGGAAAGGCCCUGCUUUUGUGGGGUGCUCGCGUGGCGAACGGGUGAGUAACACGUGAGUAACCUGCCCUUGACUUUGGGAUAACUUCAGGAAACUGGGGCUAAUACCGGAUAGGAGCUCCUGCUGCAUGGUGGGGGUUGGACAGUUUCGGCGGUUGGGGAUGGACUCGCGGCUUAUCAGCUUGUUGGUGGGGUAGUGGCUUACCAAGGCUUUGGCGGGUAGCCGGCCUGAGAGGGUGACCGGCCACAUUGGGACUGAGAUACGGCGCAGACUCCUACGGGAGGCAGCAGUGGGGAAUAUUGCACAAUGGGCGGAAGCCUGAUGCAGCAACGCCGCGUGCGGGAUGACGGCCUUCGGGUUGUAAACCGCUUUCGCCUGUGACGAAGCGUGAGUGACGGUAAUGGGUAAAGAAGCACCGGCUAACUACGUG